rnacentral:lncRNA from 1 species
CUGGGCUGGGUGCAGCUUUUCCUCGCCUCUUAGUUUUGUCUGGUACAAGGUAACAGCUGUAUUGCCGUGGGCGAUUGUUAAACCGGGCCCCUGUACGGUCGGUAAACCGCAAACCUGUGAAACCCUCGCUUACCCGACUGUAUACCUGGCUGACACCCUGGAAUGAUCAGAAUUCUGCUUCAUCACAGUCAUUUGUAGGGAUCCUGUGCACAUGCCAGUCCUUGGGACUAGCACUGGCUGGGGAAGCACUUC